CAGCCGCCGCGGGAAUACGGAGGAUCCAAGCGUUAUCCGGAAUCAUUGGGUUUAAAGGGUCCGUAGGCGGUCUUGUAAGUCAGUGGUGAAAGCCCAUCGCUCAACGGUGGAACGGCCAUUGAUACUGCAGGACUUGAAUUAUUGGGAAGUAACUAGAAUAUGUAGUGUAGCGGUGAAAUGCUUAGAGAUUACAUGGAAUACCAAUUGCGAAGGCAGGUUACUACCAAUUGAUUGACGCUGAUGGACGAAAGCGUGGGUAGCGAACAGGAUUAGAGACCCGGGUAGUCCCUGUCUCUUAUAC
rnacentral:rRNA from 1 species